GAUUUUCUUUUGAUAGAA
rnacentral:tRNA from 1 species